UAUUCCACUUAUUUCAAGACAAAUUGUAUUACGGGUGAAUUGAAUCGUACCGAGCUUCAGUCGGAAACUCUUUCAAUUCUGCAAAUUGCUUGCCCGUGGUAUUGUUCAUAAUGUUAUUUAUAUUUGCAUAUUUGCUUAGUUUAGUAGUUAUCUAGUUAUAUUAGAUUAGUAGUUAUCAUUGAUUAAGCAAAUAUCAAACGGCCUAUUACGAAUUCAAAUUUCAUAUUGCAUUUCAAAUAUGUGUUCGCAGAAUAGAGCAAAAUAGUGAUCGAAAAUGUAAGGCGAGAUAGAAAUGCUAGUAGAGCUACUGUCUAUCUUGUCGAGUUAAGUUUCAAUAUUCUAAUGUAAACAACACAUUAUUAUGUUAUUAAGUGACGAGUGGAACAGAGUUGAUCGUGUAGUCAUUAAAAGAAAAAGAAGAAAAAGAAGAAAAAAAAAAAAAAAAGAAAAAAAGAAAAAAAAAAAAAAGAAAAAAGUCAGAUUCAUUUGUUAAUUGCAAUAAUAUCUUUGAUCGGAAUAUUGAUAAGUGGUUUGCGUAGUAGCGCACAAACUUAUAAGCAAACUCAUAGAUAUCUACGUUCCAAUCUAAUCAGCCUGUAUAAUGUAGGUACAUGCUGAUUCCACAUCAGCGACGCGAAAAAAGUGAAAGAAAAAGCAGAAAAAAAGGAGCAUGCGAAAGAAACUUCUUCCUCGUGCGAUUCGUCUUCAAGGAUAACAGAACGAAGAAGAAUUAAUUAUCUCGAACUCGUCUCUUUCUUCCGUUUGACGACCAUCCACUCGCGAUUCUUUUUUCUUUUCCUUUUUCUUUUCAUUUUAUUUUUAUUUCUAUUUUUAUUUCUAUUUUUUUGAUAUUUUUUUUUCCUUCUUUUUCGACAACUCGAAUUAAAACUUCAUUUGACCUCGGGCCGUGCAAGAAUGCAUCGUACGAAACCGAUAAAUAGUGAUGGCAUUCAAAAAGUAUUUUCUUCGACUCGGAGAAAAAAAAUUGUCUGCAAGGUCGUCUUGGUUACAUUUGGGGAGAUGAACAAAAUUUGCAUUGUAUCAUAUUAUUUCUUUUCUUUUUCGAUUCGAUUGAAAUUCAAUGAAAAUUUAUUUCGAUGAUAGGACCACUACGCAGCUUGCAUUCGCGCUUAACAAGAGAAUUAUCGUUUCUCGUACUUUUGAUUAGACUUGGAGAGUAGACGAUAAAAAACUGCAUAUGCGGUUGCGUGCUCGAGAUACAGGACGUGUACAUGUAAAGGUGACACAUUUGAAAUGACGUAUCUCGUAACUCAAGCUAUAAAAGAGAUGGUAAGGUUAGUUAAUCAUUACCAAGAAGUUUCAUCUCUCUCUCUCUCUCUCUCUCUCUCUCUCUCUCUCCCUUUUUUGUUUUUCAAUAUGAAUUUUCACGAAAAAUUAUUAAAUAUGUAUUUCAUAUACAUAGAUACGUGGUGGUGCAACAGGUACGAUGUCCUACCGCAAUUUCUCGCCCUACCACAACACUCGUUUCGCUCGCGAUAUCUCUCUUUCGAAACUUCAUGCCCAAACAGUCAUAGAAAACAUCUGUCAAUGUCGGUACUAAUCUCGCAUAUUGUGUCGUUCUAUUUUGUAAAUUACGUUAGCGAUACGUGAACAAAGAAAUUGUUGUUUCGUUGCAAGGCAUACAUUGGUACGUUUUAUAAUACGUAUUAAAGAGUUUUAACAUGAAAUAAUGAAUUCAUAUUGCCAUUUUCUAUAUUCAUAAAAUACAUAUACAUGCGCAAAAUAAAGUUUAGAUAAUUUUUCAUCGAGUUUCAGAAUUUUAGUUUAAACUUUGCAUUUUUUCAUAUCGCUCGACGAUACACAUGAGUACUACCUUAUCUGUUCGACGAUACACUUGUCGCUGAAAACUAACGAUAAGUGGUGGGCGGACGAUUUCGUGGAAACCGCAUACUGCGUGACAACGAGAGCAAGUCGUUAAACGUCCCUUCUAAUGUCGAUUACCGAAAGGUAGAGUGAGAGUUACGGUAUAACUACCCUCUUUCGCAAGAAAAAGAAAAAAAAAUGGAAAAAAGAAAAAACUCGUCUGGGUGCAUGUUGCGUGCGACGCAUUAUGCACAUUAAAUCGACUGGACAGGAGAAAAGGCGAGGAGAAAGGGCUCUGCCUAUUAAACGGGAGAAUAGAAAAAAAAAAAAAAAAAAAAAAAAAAAAAAAAGUCUUUUUUCUUUUCCCCCUAAAAAUGGUAAAAUAUUAUUAUCAAACAUUAUUAAUUAUUAAUUACGCGGGGAAAAUUCGGGGAAAAAAUAGUAUAUACGCGAGACACACCUUCUGUAUCAAAGAUAGUUUCUCGUUCAUGUGGAUUUCGUUCUUGCAUAAUAUAAGUCUCCUACGAUAUACUUUACGGGUGAUAUCACCCAUUAUUUGAUAACGAUGCUACGUGAGUUAUGACAUAUACUUACUACUACAUUUCCUUGUUAUUCCAAAGAAAAAAGUUUUUCUUCCGUUAGCUGGAUCAUGAAAGGAGGAGUAAUAGAGGAUCUUAUAUAACUUUCUAUUGAAAAUUUGCACGAAAAUUUGCUUCAAUAAUAUUAAUAAUUAUUUAUAUACUAAUGUCUACAGCAAUUGCAAAAGUGAUGUCAGAAUGUGCAAUAACGAGUCGAUGUAAUUUACACUAAAUAUACGUUAAUCGUAUUAUAGCAAUAUCGUUAAUUAAUAUCACUCGAUAAUUUACUUGCGUACGAUUACCAUAUAUCGAUAAAUGCGACAAACGAGCGAUCGGUACCUUUGUACAACGAUUUUUCCAGUAAGUGCACACGUUCGCUUUCUCUCUCUCUCUCUCUCUCUCUCUCUCUCUCUCUCUCUCUCUCUCUCUUCCUCUCCUAAUUAGCUUCACCGAACCGAAGAAGGCCAUUAGCUGUCAAUUUGUACGGGCCGUCGAGCGUAGAUUAUGAAUUUUAACGAUUUCACGUUCGAAUUGAACCCUUUGCGGCCCUCAAAAAAA